GUAAGGAAUAUUGGUCAAUGGGCGGAAGCCUGAACCAGCCAUGCCGCGUGCAGGACGACGGCCCUACGGGUUGUAAACUGCUUUUGCCCAGGAAUAACCCCCCGCUCUUGAGCGGGGCUGAACGUACCGGGAGAAUAAGGAUCGGCUAACUCCGUGCCAGCAGCCGCGGUAAUACGGAGGAUCCGAGCGUUAUCCGGAUUUAUUGGGUUUAAAGGGUGCGUAGGCGGCCUGUUAAGUCAGGGGUGAAAUACGGCAGCUCAACUGUCGCAGUGCCCUUGAUACUGACGGGCUUGAAUACCGGUGAAGGCGGCGGAAUGAGACAAGUAGCGGUGAAAUGCAUAGAUAUGUCUCAGAACCCCGAUUGCGAAGGCAGCUGCCUAACCGGCGAUUGACGCUGAUGCACGAAAGCGUGGGGAUCGAACAGGAUUAGAUACCCUUGUAGUCC
rnacentral:rRNA from 1 species